UACGGAGGGGGCUAGCGUUGUUCGGAAUUACUGGGCGUAAAGCGCACGUAGGCGGCUUUGUAAGUUAGAGGUGAAAGCCCGGGGCUCAACUCCGGAAUUGCCUUUAAGACUGCAUCGCUAGAAUUGUGGAGAGGUAAGUGGAAUUCCGAGUGUAGAGGUGAAAUUCGUAGAUAUUCGGAAGAACACCAGUGGCGAAGGCGGCUCUCUGAACCGUAACUGACGCUGAGGCGCGAAAGCGUGGGGAGCAAACAGG
rnacentral:rRNA from 1 species